CACGUAGGGCGCGAGCGUUGUCCGGAAUUAUUGGGCGUAAAGAGCUCGUAGGCGGUUUGGUAAGUCGGGUGUGAAAUCUCCACGCUCAACGUGGAGGGGCCACCCGAUACUGCCAUGACUGGAGUCCGGUAGGGGAGUGUGGAAUUCCCGGUGUAGCGGUGAAAUGCGCAGAUAUCGGGAGGAACACCAGUAGCGAAGGCGGCGCUCUGGGCCGGAACUGACGCUGAGGAGCGAAAGCGUGGGUAGCAAACAGG
rnacentral:rRNA from 1 species